GACGAACGCUGGCGGCGUGCUUAACACAUGCAAGUCGAACGGAAAGGCCCUGCUUGCAGGGUACUCGAGUGGCGAACGGGUGAGUAACACGUGGGUGAUCUGCCCUGCACUUCGGGAUAAGCCUGGGAAACUGGGUCUAAUACUGGAUAGGAGCCAUUUUUAGUGUGAUGGUUGGAAAGUUUUUUCGGUGUAGGAUGAGCUCGCGGCCUAUCAGCUUGUUGGUGGGGUAAUGGCCUACCAAGGCGGCGACGGGUAGCCGGCCUGAGAGGGUGGACGGCCACAUUGGGACUGAGAUACGGCCCAGACUCCUACGGGAGGCAGCAGUGGGGAAGAUUGAACAAUGGGCGCAAGCCUGAUGCAGAGACGCCGCAUGGGGGAUGACGGCCUUCUGGUUGUAAACGCCUUUCGCUAGGGACGAAGCUUUUUGUGACGGUACCUAGAUAAGAAGCACCGGCUAACUACGUG
rnacentral:rRNA from 1 species